CCUACAGGGGGAGGACAAGAGAGAUGGAGGUAGCUCAGUCUCCAUGCCCAUUCAAGUCUUGGUCUCUCUGCUGAGAUCAUUAGCCCCCCCACAUUGGUUAUGAGUGUAAGUGUAGUGUUGGCUUUUGUGAUGGGGACAUCAGCAGAGUAGGAAUUGAACAGAGACUUUCAACUCAUUUCAUACUUCACAGCCAGGUAGUGAUUUUUGGUCUCAACUGAGCUGGUCUGGUCUGGUCUGGAACCUGUAGCCCAGAGAGGAAAGUCUUCAUACCCUACACCAUCAUCCAUUAUCCCAAGUCUUGAUGCAUCACAAGCAAUCAGCUCUUACCCACUGUUGGUACAGGACUGAGGAGUGUCCCAUCUUGGGCCAUGGUGCAAAUACUGCUCUAGCAAGUAAAAUGACAACACAACUGAAGCUGAGUAAAAGAGUAAGAUCUCACUGGAAACUACAUACUGCAUCUGAGCAUCGUGCCUAGUUAAGUAAAAUACAAAACUGAAUUUUAGAAUGAGACAAAAUGUUAUUCCCCCUUCUUUCCUAUCAAGGCAUCUAGUUAAAAUGACAGGAAAGUAACAAUACCCCAACUCAAAACAAUUCCUGCCUUGGCCAAUCAUGGACAUAAAUCCCUUGUACCUAAUCAAGAAGUGUAUACCUCACAUUUGCAAUACAGUCAGCAUCAGCUUGAUCAUAAGUUGCUUAGAGGCAAGAAUGUCAUAUUUGAGGUCAAUAAACUGCCAUAAUCCACUAAAGCUUUGAAAAACUAGGACAGCACAAUUUACUCUUGCAAUGAGAUUUUACUAGAUUAUACAAGAUUUACAUGCACAGGCCUCAUUUACGUUAGUAAAAUGACCUGUUGCUGACACCAUGGUCAGCGUCAAGCCCCUUCUUUGCUCCUCCGAAAUGAUGCUGAAAACUGUUUUACUGAUAGAAAGGACAAAACCUUUUUUCAAUAGGGCCACAGAAAGAGUAACAGGGAUUACAUCUCAAUCAUACUUUCUAUAAUGGUGUUGAAAGUAGUUUCACCUUGUCGAUACUGACCCUUCAACCAUUUUCAGCCAUGGCAAAGGAAAAGUCUGUUGACGCUAAUAUCCCAGAAAAGUAAGGACCAGAGGACAGACAGACAUUUCAGAUAUUGGGCUUAGAAUGCAACAUAUAAGAGAGUAUGAAAUACGGAUAAGAGAAGAAACUUUAAGGACUGGUAGAGAGGAAUAGAUUUCCCUCUUUAUAGAACUCAGAUAUAUUUUGCAUCCAAGUUUUGUCUGGUUUUAGUUUUAAGGGAGAAAAAAAAUUAAGGCAAGCUCAACAUGUCCCACAGAAUUUGUUUUGAAAUAUUAUACAUUUUCAAUCAGAGUGCUAAUCACAUUAGAUUAUGUAGAAUGUUGUGACUAUUUACUUCCAUGUCCUAUUACUGUGGAUCAUUAUUGUUUUAAUUUUUACCUUGAGUGGUCUGAUGCAGCCUUUUCAUUGUAAGCCAACCCAGCCACUUGGUCUCUAACACUAGAGUUAUUUGUGCACAGGUUCAUUAAUGAAGCCAAACUAAUUUGUAACAAAUUGUGUAAUAACAAAUAUUGUGAUGUCCCCAAUCAAAAAGGUCUUUCCUCCCCAUCUCUGCUUUGUCAUCUUGUUACUACCAACCCAUGACCCUGAACCAGCAAAAUAUUAAAGCAUGUGCUGAACUUUAAGUAGGUUUGAAGUCCAAUUUGAAGCCAACUUGAAGUUAAGCACUUGCAUAAGUGCCUUACUGGAUCAGGGCCCAUGUAUGCAAUAUUUCAUUUUAAGUAUUUUAUUAAAUUAGGAUCCCUUUUGAUUUUUAUAUGGCAUUAGGAUCCAUUUUAAGCAUGAAAGUAAGUGAGCAUAUUCCAGUAAUUUGACUUACCUAUUUGCUUAUUCAAAUAAGAAGCACAAAUAGAAUAAAGCCAAGUUAAAUAUAUUUUGUAUUACAGGCUAUUUGAUUAAGAAUCUUUUUCUACUCCCUUUUGACAUAUCUGAGGUUUGUACAGCUCUGAAUCAGUAUUUGAAAAGAUGCAAACUGUCCUCAGAUCAGAAAAUAAAUUAAUCUUGAAACUGAGGCUUACUUCUUACAAACUUAGCUUUGUAAAGCAAAAUAAGAUAAACAGUUAGUUUAGGGGUAUAUUACAAGCUUGUCUUGCAAAGAGCAUUCAGUAAUUAUGAACAAAACCAGGGAGGAGAGAAAGAAAAAUCUAGCAGAAGGAUAAUGAAGUGCAUGCUAUAGAUUUGACCUUCAAAUAAAACACAAUACACAUAUUAGGCUUCACUCACCCACAUGCUAACUAAGCACAGACUGAUGGAAUAUUCAGAAGAUACCACUGCGAGGUGA